AUUGAACGCUGGCGGCAGGCCUAACACAUGCAAGUCGAACGGUAACAGGGAUCAGCUUGCUGAUUCGCUGACGAGUGGCGGACGGGUGAGUAAUGUCUGGGAAACUGCCUGAUGGAGGGGGAGAACUACUGGAAACGGUAGCUAAUACAGCAUAACGUCGCAAGACCAAAGAGGGGGACCUUCGGGCCUCUUGCGAUCGGAUGUGCCCAGAUGGGAUUAGCUAGUAGGUGGGGUAACGGCUCACCUAGGCGACGAUCCCUAGCUGGUCUGAGAGGAUGACCAGCCACACUGGAACUGAGACACGGUCCAGACUCCUACGGGAGGCAGCAGUGGGGAAUAUUGCACAAUGGGCGCAAGCCUGAUGCAGCCAUGCCGCGUGUAUGAAGAAGGCCUUCGGGUUGUAAAGUACCUUCAGCGGGGAGGAAGGGAGUAAAGUUAAUACCUUGGCUCAUUGACGUUACCCGCAGAAGAAGCACCGGCUAACUCCGUG
rnacentral:rRNA from 1 species